rnacentral:tRNA from 1 species
UCGGAUAUGGUGUAACGGCUAACAUUGCCGCCUCUCACCCCACGGUAUCGCGGCAGCUCGGGGUUCGAUUCCCCGUAUCCGAA